rnacentral:rRNA from 1 species
GACGUAGGGCGCGAGCGUUGUCCGGAUUUAUUGGGCGUAAAGAGCUCGUAGGCGGCUUGUUGCGUCGGCUGUGAAAACCCAUGGCUCAACCGUGGGCUUGCAGCCGAUACGGGCAGGCUAGAGUUCGGUAGGGGAGACUGGAAUUCCUGGUGUAGCGGUGAAAUGCGCAGAUAUCAGGAGGAACACCAGUGGCGAAGGCGGCGAUCUGGGAAGAUACUGACGCUGAGGUGCGAAAGCGUGGGGAGCAAACAGG